CAGCAGCCACGGGAAUACGAAGGGUGCAAGCGUUAAUCGGAAUUACUGGGCGUAAAGCGUGCGUAGGCGGUUUGUUAAGUCUGUUGUGAAAUCCCCGGGCUCAACCUGGGAAUGGCAAUGGAUACUGGCAAGCUAGAGUGUGUCAGAGGAUGGUGGAAUUCCCGGUGUAGCGGUGAAAUGCGUAGAGAUCGGGAGGAACAUCAGUGGCGAAGGCGGCCAUCUGGGACAACACUGACGCUGAGGCACGAAAGCGUGGGGAGCAAACAGGAUUAGAUACCCCCGUAGUCCCUGUCUCUUAUAA
rnacentral:rRNA from 1 species